UACGCAGGGUGCGAGCGUUGUCCGGAAUUACUGGGCGUGAAGAGCUCGUAGGUGGUUUGUCGCGUCGUCUGUGAAAUUCCGGGGCUUAACUCCGGGCGUGCAGGCGAUACGGGCAAUACUUGAGUGCUGUAGGGGAGACUGGAAUUCCUGGUGUAGCGGUGAAAUGCGCAGAUAUCAGGAGGAACACCAAUGGCGAAGGCAGGUCUCUGGGCAGUAACUGACGCUGAGGAGCGAAAGCAUGGGUAGCGAACAGGA
rnacentral:rRNA from 1 species